CAUGCAAGUCGAACGAAGUGGCGGACGGGUGAGUAACGCGUGGGUAACCUGCCCUGUACAGGGGGAUAACAGUUAGAAAUGACUGCUAACACCGCAUAGUACAGGAUGGGCCCGCGUCUGAUUAGCCAGUUGGCAGGGUAACGGCCUACCAAAGCAACGAUCAGUAGCCGGCUUGAGAGAGUGAACGGCCACAUUGGGACUGAGACACGGCCCAAACUCCUACGGGAGGCAGCAGUGGGGAAUAUUGCACAAUGGGGGAAACCCUGAUGCAGCGACGCCGCGUGAGUGAAGAAGUAUUUCGGUAUGUAAAGCUCUAUCAGCAGGGAAGCGGUACCUGACUAAGAAGCCCCGGCUAACUACGUGCCAGCAGCCGCGGUAAUACGUAGGGGGCAAGCGUUAUCCGGAUUUACUGGGUGUAAAGGGUGCGUAGGUGGUCUGGCAAGUCAGAAGUGAAAACGCAGGGCUUAACCCUGCGACUGCUUUUGAAACUGUCAGACUGGAGUGCAGGAGAGGCAAGCGGAAUUCCUAGUGUAGCGGUGAAAUGCGUAGAUAUU
rnacentral:rRNA from 1 species